GACGAACGCUGGCGGCGUGCUUAACACAUGCAAGUCUACGAGAACGAGGUAGCAAUAUCUUUAUUAAAGUGGCGCACGGGUGAGUAACACGUAAGUAACCUACCUUUAGAUUUGGAAUAACCCCGAGAAAUCGGGGCUAAUACCGAAUGAUGCAGCGGCACCACAUGGUGAUGUUGUUAAAGUCUAUAUGACGUCUAAAGAUGGGCUUGCGUCUGAUUAGCUAGUUGGUGAGGUAACGGCCCACCAAGGCUACGAUCAGUAGCUGGUCUGAGAGGAUGAUCAGCCACACUGGAACUGAGACACGGUCCAGACUCCUACGGGAGGCAGCAGUGAGGAAUAUUGGGCAAUGCCCGCAAGGGUGACCCAGCAACGCCGCGUGGAGGAUGAAUGCCGUAAGGUUGUAAACUCCUGUUAGAGGGGAAGA
rnacentral:rRNA from 1 species